rfam:Ancylostoma ceylanicum strain HY135 Acey_s0461_scaf, whole genome shotgun sequence.
AUCUCCGGAUCUUUUGCACUUAGCCGAGAAAAUCUUUCGCCUUUUACUAAAGAUUUCCGUGCAAAGGUGCGUUUUGUGAGUAUUCAGUAAUUUUUGGAAUCCCCUCGAAAGAACGGGAU